rnacentral:rRNA from 1 species
AGUGAACGCUGGCGGUAGGCCUAACACAUGUAAGUCGAACGGCAGCACAGUAAGAGCUUGCUCUUACGGGUGGCGAGUGGCGGACGGGUGAGGAAUACAUCGGAAUCUACUUUUUCGUGGGGGAUAGCGUAGGGAAACUUACGCUAAUACCGCAUACGACCUACGGGUGAAAGCAGGGGAUCUUCGGACCUUGCGCGAUUGAAUGAGCCGAUGUCGGAUUAGCUAGUUGGCGGGGUAAAGGCCCACCAAGGCGACGAUCCGUAGCUGGUCUGAGAGGAUGAUCAGCCACACUGGAACUGAGACACGGUCCAGACUCCUACGGGAGGCAGCAGUGGGGAAUAUUGGACAAUGGGCGCAAGCCUGAUCCAGCCAUACCGCGUGGGUGAAGAAGGCCUUCGGGUUGUAAAGCCCUUUUGUUGGGAAAGAAAAGCAGCAGGUUAAUACCCCGCUGUUCUGACGGUACCCAAAGAAUAAGCACCGGCUAACUUCGUG